CUGGUGUCAGGAGCAGUUUGGAGUUUUGAAAUUCUUUUUAACUAAUACUAUAUAUUUUUAAAGCCCAAAACAUAUUUUCUCAAGGGUUUUCUCCUUCAUUUCUAAACCCAAGUGUAUUAUCAAGACAAAUGGAAUCCAUGUGCUAUUGAAUGUGUUUACACACCAUUCAUUACAGUGCAUUUCAUUGUACAAUACUGACAUUCUUUUGUAGGAGUUGUUUCAAGGCUGAAAUGAUUCUGAAGCUAAAAUUUUAGACAACUUUCUCGUCCCAGCCCCUCAGAGUCCCAUAAUUUGUAAACCAUACUCUUGACUGAAACAGCAGUUUCUUGAAGUUUUUGUCCAAAUCUAAUAUUCAUAUGAUGGAAAGAUUUCCAGAUUAGUGAAACAACUCCUUCCCCUGUCUCCUUUGUCCUUGAUUCUGAUUGCUUUGGGUAAAGAGAAUGAAACGGUUUCUUUGUGAAGCAGCAGUCGGUACAAUCUCGCCAUCCUCUCAGCAACUGAAUGGAAGAGGAUAGCAUUGGAGGACUCCACAGCAAGCAAAGAAAAGGCACAGUAUGAGUGCAAGGUGCUACCAGACUUUGCACAAAGCCCUUUUCAAAGUAUUAUCUACCAUUAUUGCAGUGUCCCCAGAAGGCAGAUGGGUCAUUGUUAAUCAUACAGCUGGAAAAAUCUGCUAAUGCGAGCUCAGACAAUUGUCUUCACCGCCCUGGGCUUCCAUUGCCUUCUCUGAAAAAUGACCGGCUGCCCUUACCCCAAAAGGUAUUUUGUGAGCAUUUCCUCAGUACCACCAGAUUCCUGAAUAGGUGUUUCAGUUACUAUUAUUGCAUAAGGAAGUACUCUGAACUUAAAAGUGUGAAACAACAAUCAUUUUAUUUUGCUCACAGGUCUGUGGGUCAGGAAUUCAGGCAGAGCUUGACUGGGCAGUUCUUACCGAGGGGCACACGAGAGGUUGCAGUCAGAUGCUGGCUGAGGCUGCAAAAAUCUGAAGGUUCAACGGAGCUAGACAUCCAAGAUGGUUCACUCCCAUGGCUGGCAGCUGAUGCGAGCCAUUGGUUGUGAGUUCAGCUGCGGCUGUUGACCAGAAAGCCUCCACACAGCCACUCCACCAUGGCAGUCUCAGGGUCACUGGGCUUCUUACAUAACAGAUCAAAGUUCCAAAUGCAAGUGUCCCAGCAGCCACGGUGGAAGUUGCAUGGCUUUUUAUGACCUAACUUUGGAAGUCAUAUAGGUCACUUUUACCAUAAUCUCUUGAUCAAAGCAGUCACAAGCCUGCCUAGAUUCAAGGGAAAGAAGCCAUAGAUCCCCACCUCUUAAUGGGAGGUGUGUCAAGAAUUUGCAGAUGAGACUUUAAAACCACCACAAUAACCAUGGGUACCCCCACAGAAGUCUGUUAUGUCACUUUAAGUUACCCACUGAGGCAGACACUACUGCUGCCCUCACCCAUGUCUGAGCUCGCCUACAACUGGAGAGGACAGUUCCUACAACUGCUGACAGCUCCCACCUCAGGGGCCCAGGCCUCAUCUGAUGUCUCACCUGAAAGAAGUGUGGUCACAGAAAUGACAGAAGUUUAUCAUUUGCCAAACCUUGGACUGGAGCGGGCGUUUAACAACAUAUUUAUGCCAACAGCUUCUUAACACCCUUGGUAAGAGCUGGCUUCAGCACACCACUGGAGAGCCCCCUCAUGCUAUGGGACAAAGGUAGGAGUGGAAAAAGAACAGGAGCUGGCU
rnacentral:lncRNA from 1 species